rnacentral:rRNA from 1 species
CUGGCUCAGAAUGAACGCUAGCGAUAAGCUUAACACAUGCAAGUUGUACGUCUCUCAAUUCAUUGAGAGGAGUAGCGAACGGGUGAGUAACACGUAAGAAUCUGCCUCAUAAAUCAAGCAAAGGCUUUCUGAAUCUUGAAUAGGUUGCCUGAUUUUUUUUUGCUAAGAAAAAGGAUCAAGUCACUCAAAGUUGUAAAACGUUAUGAGAUGAGCUUGCGUAGGAUUAGGUAGUUGGUAGAGUAAAAGCCUACCAAGCCAAAGAUCCUUAGCUGGUCUGAGAGGAUGAUCGGCCACACUGGGACUGAGACACGGCCCAGACGCUUUCGAGCGGCAGCAGUGAGGAAUAUUGGACAAUGGGCGAAAGCCUGAUCCAGCUAGAUCGCGUGGGCGACGAAGACUGUUUUGGUUGUAAAGCCCUUUACUCAAACAGAGAUUAUGACAGAGUUUGAGAAAAAAGUCCCGGCCAAUCUCGUGCCAGCAGCCGCGGUAAUACGAGAGGGGCGAGCGUUAUUCGGAAUGAUUGGGCGUAAAGAGCACGUAGACUGUUUAGAUUAUCAAAGAGAAAAAAAAUCAGAGCUUAACUUUGAAACUUGUCUUGUUUUCUCGUGAAAACUUUUCUUAAAAGUUUUCACGAGAAAACUUAUGGAUCAAAUUUUUAAAAUUUGGACCCGAUACCUAAACUAGAGUGAGUAAGAGGAGAAUGGAAUUCCUGGCGUAGAGGUAAAAUUUGUUGAUAUCAGGAGGAACACCAAAAGCGAAGGCAAUUCUCUGGGACUCCACUGACGUUGAGGUGCGAAAGCGUGGGGAGCAAAGGGGAUUAGAUACCCCCGUAGUCCACGCCGUCAACGAUGACCUUUCUAGAAACAUUUGUAUCUUCUGAAAGCUUGGUGACUAGAUUUUUCUAGUAAUUGCUGAUGUAAUCAGUCAUCAGGUGAAGGUUUAAACUUUUCUAUUAGCUAACGCGUUAAAUGGUCCGCCUGAGGAGUACGGUCGCAAGAUUAAAACUCAAAGGAAUAGACGGGGGCUCACACAAGUGGUGGAACAUGUGGUUUAAUUCGAAACAACGCGCAAAACCUUACCAGUCCUUGACAUAAUCUUUUCACAAUCU